rnacentral:rRNA from 1 species
AACGAACGCUGGCGGCAUGCCUAACACAUGCAAGUCGAACGAGACCUUCGGGUCUAGUGGCGCACGGGUGCGUAACGCGUGGGAACCUGCCCUUAGGUUCGGAAUAACUCCCCGAAAGGGGUGCUAAUACCGGAUAAUGUCUUCGGACCAAAGAUUUAUCGCCUUUGGAUGGGCCCGCGUUGGAUUAGCUAGUUGGUAGGGUAAAAGCCUACCAAGGCGACGAUCCAUAGCUGGUCUGAGAGGAUGAUCAGCCACACUGGGACUGAGACACGGCCCAGACUCCUCCGGGGGGCAGGAGUGGGAAAUAUUGACAAACGGGGAAAGGCCUGAUCCAGCAAUCCCGGGGGAGUAAUGAAGGCCUAAGGGUUGAAAAGCUCUUUUACCCGGGAUGAUAAGGACGGACCCGGGAAAAAAAGCCCGGGCAAAUCCGGG